GACGAACGCUGGCGGCGUGCCUAAUACAUGCAAGUAGAACGCUGAAGGAGGAGCUUACUUCUCUGGAUGAGUUGCGAACGGGUGAGUAACGCGUAGGUAACCUGCCUGGUAGCGGGGGAUAACUAUUGGAAACGAUAGCUAAUACCGCAUAAGAGUAGAUGUUGCAUGACAUCUACUUAAAAGGUGCAAUUGCACCACUACCAGAUGGACCUGCGUUGUAUUAGCUAGUUGGUGGGGUAACGGCUUACCAAGGCGACGAUACAUAGCCGACCUGAGAGGGUGAUCGGCCAAACUGGGACUGAGACACGGCCCAGACUCCUACGGGAGGCAGCAGUAGGGAAUCUUCGGCAAUGGACGGAAGUCUGACCGAGCAACGCCGCGUGAGUGAAGAAGGUUUUCGGAUCGUAAAGCUCUGUUGUAAGAGAAGAACGAGUGUGAGAGUGGAAAGUUCACACUGUGACGGUAUCUUACCAGAAAGGGACGGCUAACUACGUGCCAGCCGCCGCAGUAA
rnacentral:rRNA from 1 species